rnacentral:rRNA from 1 species
CCUACGGGGGGCAGCAGUGGGGGAUAUUGCACAAUGGGGGAAACCCUGAUGCAGCGACGCCGCGUGGGUGAAGAAGCGCCUCGGCGCGUAAAGCCCUGUCUGCAGGGAAGAAAAUGACGGUACCUGAAGAAGAAGCCCCGGCUAACUACGUGCCAGCAGCCGCGGUAAUACGGAGGGGGCAAGCGUUAUCCGGAUUUACUGGGGGUAAAGGGGGCGCAGGCGGCGAUGCAAGCCAGGAGUGAAAGCCCGGGGCCAAACCCCGGGACUGCUCUUGGAACUGCGUGGCUAGAGUGCAGGAGGGGCAGGCGGAAUGCCUGGUGUAGCGGUGAAAUGCGUAGAGAUCAGGAGGAACACCGGUGGCGAAGGCGGCCUGCUGGACUGCAACUGACGUUGAGGCCCGAAAGCGUGGGGAGCAAACAGGAUUAGAUACCCGAGUAGUC